UACGUAGGGGGCAAGCGUUGUCCGGAUUUAUUGGGCGUAAAGAGCGUGUAGGCGGCCAAAUAGGUCGGUUGUGAAAACUGGAGGCUUAACCUCCAGACGUCGACCGAAACCAUCUGGCUAGAGUCCGGAAGAGGAGAGUGGAAUUCCUGGUGUAGCGGUGAAAUGCGUAGAUAUCUGGAGGAAUACCGGUGGCGAAGGCGGGUCUCUGGGCCGUAACUGACGCUGAGGAGCGAAAGCGUGGGGAGCGAACAGG
rnacentral:rRNA from 1 species